rnacentral:rRNA from 1 species
CCAAUAGCGUAUAUUAAAGUUGUUGCAGUUAAAAAGCUCGUAGUUGAAUUUUAGGCCUGGCCGGGCGGUCCGUCUUUGGCGAGUACUGUCCUGUGUCGGGUCUUCCUUCUGGUGAACCAGCAUGUCCUUUAUUGGGUGUGCCGGGGAGCCAGGACCAUUACCUUGAAAAAAUUAGAGUGUUUAAAGCGGGCAUUUGCUUGAAUAGAUUAGCAUGGAAUAAUAGAAUAGGACGUUGUGGUUCUAUUUUGUUGGUUUCUAGGACCACCGUAAUGAUUAAUAGGGAUAGUUGGGGGCAUUAGUAUUCAAUUGUCAGAGGUGAAAUUCUUGGAUUUAUUGAAGACUAACUAUUGCGAAAGCAUUUGCCAAGGAUGUUUUCAUUAAUCAAGAACGAAAGUUAGGGGAUCGAAGACGAUCAGAUACCGUCGUAGUCUUAACCAUAAACUAUGCCGACUAGGAAUCGGGCGACGUUAUUUUCAUGACUCGCUCGGCGCCUUAUG